rnacentral:rRNA from 1 species
AUUGAACGCUGGCGGCAUGCCUAACACAUGCAAGUCGAACGAGAAAGUGGAGCAAUCCAUGAGUACAGUGGCGCACGGGUGAGUAACACGUGACUAACCUGCCUUCGAGUGGGGAAUCACCUCGGGAAACCGGGGCUAAUACCGCAUAACAUCAUCGGGUGAAAUUCCUGCUGAUCAAAAGUUUUUUGCUUGAAGAGGGGGUCGCGGCUGAUUAGCUAGUUGGUGGGGUAACGGCCCACCAAGGCAGUGAUCAGUAGCCGGCCUGAGAGGGCGCACGGCCACACUGGAACUGAAACACGGUCCAGACUCCUACGGGAGGCAGCAGUGGGGAAUUUUGCGCAAUGGGGGAAACCCUGACGCAGCAACGCCGCGUGGAGGAUGAAGUCCCUUGGGACGUAAACUCCUUUCGAUCGGGAAGAAUAAUGACGGAACCGGAAGAAGAAGCCCCGGCUAACUUCGUGCCAGCAGCCGCCGUAA